UGAAAUUAUUCAACGGCCGCGGUAUCCUAACCGUGCGAAGGUAGCGUAAUCACUUGUUCUUUAAAUGAGGACUAGUAUGAAUGGCACCACGAGGGUUCUACUGUCUCCUUUUUUUAAUCAGUGAAACUAAUCUCCCCGUGAAGAAGCGGGGAUCUUUAUAUAAGACGAGAAGACCCUAUGGAGCUUUAAACAACCAACAUUUGCUACACCAUAACAUUUUCCCUAAAAGAAGUAUAGCAUUAUGAUUAUUAGUUUUCGAUUGGGGUGAUCACGGAGUAAAAUAUAACCUCCAUGCCGAAAGGGUUCUUACCCUGAGCAAAAAGCCACAACUUUAAGCACUAAAAAAUUAACGCAGUUUGACCCAAUAUUUUGAUCAACGAACCA
rnacentral:rRNA from 1 species